rnacentral:tRNA from 1 species
GGGUAUAUAGCUCAGUGGCAGAGUGCUUGCCUAGCAUGCUCAAGGUCCUGGAUUCAAGUCCCAGUAUCUCCA